GAUAGCUCAGUUAGUUAGAGCAUGGCGGCGAUUAACGCCAAGGUUGCAGGUUCGAUCCCCGUAUGGGGCA